rnacentral:rRNA from 1 species
ACGAACGCUGGCGGCGUGGAUAAGACAUGCAAGUCGAACGAGAGAAUUGCUAGCUUGCUAAUAAUUCUCUAGUGGCGCACGGGUGAGUAACACGUGAGUAACCUGCCCCCGAGAGCGGGAUAGCCCUGGGAAACUGGGAUUAAUACCGCAUAGUAUCGAAAGAUUAAAGCAGCAAUGCGCUUGGGGAUGGGCUCGCGGCCUAUUAGUUAGUUGGUGAGGUAACGGCUCACCAAGGCGAUGACGGGUAGCCGGUCUGAGAGGAUGUCCGGCCACACUGGAACUGAGACACGGUCCAGACACCUACGGGUGGCAGCAGUCGAGAAUCAUUCACAAUGGGGGAAACCCUGAUGGUGCGACGCCGCGUGGGGGAAUGAAGGUCUUCGGAUUGUAAACCCCUGUCAUGUGGGAGCAAAUUAAAAAGAUAGUACCACAAGAGGAAGAGACGGCUAACUCUGUGCCAGCAGCCGCGGUAAUACAGAGGUCUCAAGCGUUGUUCGGAAUCACUGGGCGUAAAGCGUGCGUAGGCUGUUUCGUAAGUCGUGUGUGAAAGGCGCGGGCUCAACCCGCGGACGGCACAUGAUACUGCGAGACUAGAGUAAUGGAGGGGGAACCGGAAUUCUCGGUGUAGCAGUGAAAUGCGUAGAUAUCGAGAGGAACACUCGUGGCGAAGGCGGGUUCCUGGACAUUAACUGACGCUGAGGCACGAAGGCCAGGGGAGCGAAAGGGAUUAGAUACCCCUGUAGUCCUGGCAGUAAACGGUGCACGCUUGGUGUGCGGGGAAUCGACCCCCUGCGUGCCGGAGCUAACGCGUUAAGCGUGCCGCCUGGGGAGUACGGUCGCAAGAUUAAAACUCAAAGGAAUUGACGGGGGCCCGCACAAGCGGUGGAGUAUGUGGUUUAAUUCGACGCAACGCGAAGAACCUUACCAAGGCUUGACAUCCACUUAAAGUUAUGGAAACAUAAUGUCCCUUCGGGGGAAGUGAGACAGGUGGUGCAUGGUUGUCGUCAGCUCGUGUCGUGAGAUGUUGGGUUAAGUCCCGCAACGAGCGCAACCCCUGUUGCCAGUUACCAGCACGUGAAGGUGGGGACUCUGGCGAGACUGCCCAGAUCAACUGGGAGGAAGGUGGGGACGACGUCAGGUCAGUAUGGCCCUUAUGCCCAGGGCUGCACACGUACUACAAUGCCCAGUACAGAGGGGGCCGAAGCCGCGAGGCGGAGGAAAUCCUAAAAACUGGGCCCAGUUCGGACUGUAGGCUGCAACCCGCCUACACGAAGCCGGAAUCGCUAGUAAUGGCGCAUCAGCUACGGCGCCGUGAAUACGUUCCCGGGUCUUGUACACACCGCCCGUCACAUCAUGGAAGCCGGUCGCACCCGAAGUAUCUGAAGCCAACCGCAAGGAGGCAGGGUCCUAAGGUGAGACUGGUAACUGGGAUG